AUUGAACGCUGGCGGCAGGCCUAACACAUGCAAGUCGAGCGGAUGAAGGGAGCUUGCUCCUGUCUUCAGCGGCGGACGGGUGAGUAAUGCCUAGGAGUCUGCCUGGUCGUGGGGGAUAACGUCCGUAAACGGGCGCUAAUACCGCAUCCGUCCUGAGGGUGAAAGUGGGGGAUCUUCGGACCUCACGCUAUCUGAUGUGCCUAGGUCGGAUUAGCUAGUUGGUGGGGUAAAGGCCUACCAAGGCGACGAUCCGUAACUGGUCUGAGAGGAUGAUCAGUCACACUGGAACUGAGACACGGUCCAGACUCCUACGGGAGGCAGCAGUGGGGAAUAUUGGACAAUGGGCGAAAGCCUGAUCCAGCCAUGCCGCGUGUGUGAAGAAGGUCUUCGGAUUGUAAAGCACUGUAAGUUGGGAGGAAGGGCAGUAAGUUAAUACCUGGAUGUUUUGACGUUACCAACAGAAUAAGCACCGGCUAACUUCGUG
rnacentral:rRNA from 1 species